rnacentral:rRNA from 1 species
GACGAACGCUCGCGGCGUGCUUAACACAUGCAAGUCGAACGGAAAGGCCCUGCUUUUGUGGGGAGCUCGAGUGGCGAACGGGUGAGUAACACGUGAGUAACCUGCCCUUGACUUUGGGAUAACUUCAGGAAACUGGGGCUAAUACCGGAUAGGAGCUCCUGCUGCAUGGUGGGGGUUGGAAAGUUUCGGCGGUUGGGGAUGGACUCGCGGCUUAUCAGCUUGUUGGUGGGGUAGUGGCUUACCAAGGCUUUGACGGGUAGCCGGCCUGAGAGGGUGACCGGCCACAUUGGGACUGAGAUACGGCCCAGACUCCUACGGGAGGCAGCAGUGGGGAAUAUUGCACAAUGGGCGGAAGCCUGAUGCAGCAACGCCGCGUGCGGGAUGACGGCCUUCGGGUUGUAAACCGCUUUCGCCUGUGACGAAGCGUGAGUGACGGUAAUGGGUAAAGAAGCACCGGCUAACUACGUG